CACCUGAUGACUUUUACUAACUUGGCUCUCUUCUUCUAUCCCAAUAUGUAAUUCAAGCUGACCAAUCAAAGUACCUCAUCAGUUGGAUACAGUGAUUGGUGUAGGAUUGAGCAUGUUAUCUAAGCAGAACCAAUCAGAGUCAUUUUUUACUCUGUAAUUGCUAUAGUCUCCUUUAAUCUUGAAGACCGAAACCUAUCUCCAGAUGGAAAACUCUAAGAAGUCAACACAGAGAAAAGCAAAACUGAAAGAUGGAGAGAACAAAAGGAAUCCUGAUGAUGGUGUUUCAAUCCCUGAACUCUAGCCUUUUCUGAAGCCUUUCCUGCUACUUGAGCCAAGUGAUGCCCAAGUUAGAGUUGGGUUUCUAUUACUUCAUUGUCCUUCAUCCACCUUUCUCUCCAAGGAUAACUGGAUUCCGAAAAGCCUUUACAGAUCUUCCUGUGUGGGUCAACUCUUUCUUCUUAAGCAAUCAGGGUGCCAUGCACUCUCCAGUGUUACAUUCACAAGUUAUCAUUUUAUAUUUAUUCAUGCAAUUGUUUCAAUGUAUCCUCCACAUGACUUCAAGUUCCCAGAGAAUGCCUUGGGUUUUGCUCAACAUUCAUUGUAACACCAGUGCCUGGCACAGAGCCAGCACUCCAUACAUAUUUGUAGACUGAAUAAAUUACGUAAUGGCGUCCUGGCAGAGUCUGCGCAGAGGAGACAACUGAGCCGGUGGGAGGCGGCCAGGGGAGCUCGCGCGGAUUGGCUGGAGGAGCGAGGGGAUCGGCUGCGCAGGGCACGGGCGAGUAGACUCCAGUCUCCAGGAGCUGCGCGCUGAGAGUGCUCGCGAGGCCCCGGCGCGGUGUCUAAGAUGGUGGCGCUAGGACCCGGAACCACGUGAUAGACUCCGGGGCCCCUGACCCAGCAGGAGGCUGGGGGUGGCGUGGAGUUCCCUCCUGUGGGUACCGCAAACGGAAUUUCCCCCACGCCCAGAAUUCACCGUCAGACAUAAAUUGAUCCUAUUCCUCGCCCAACGCUGUGCCAGAAAUUCAAGAUACUGCAAGAUGUGGCUGUGAAUUAAUCACAAAAGGAUGCUGGGCUCCAGGCCUGUACUCAGUGGGAUCUCUACAAAGAAGAGACACUAGAUAAGGAGGCAGAGCUGGCCUCACUGGGUAAGGGCACUGAACUCUAACUUACAAUCCAUAUACUCUGAGUUCUGUGAGUUUUGGUUGAAAAAACAAAAAACUAUUUCUUCUAUACCUCAAAGAUGUCUGAACAUUAAAAAAAAAAAAAAAAGAGAGAGAGAGAGAAGUUUUUCAAGAACUCAGUUGACUUAGAGAUUCCCAGUUGCUUUGACUAUUGGAGACAAGAUGUUUUUGCUCUUUGUUGAAAGAUAUUUAGCCCCAUCUGUGUGACAUGGUAAAAGCCCCAUAAAACUGCACACCUCAACCAU